AGAGCAGGGAUUUGGAGACUCCGUCCUGCACUUUCCUGGGUCAUAAAGGCCACACUCUGGACUCUGAGCUCUGGGUCUGCAGUUCUCGACCAAGGGGCAGCAACAUGUUCUUCAGGGCUCAGCUCCUCUGCCUCCUGCUGCUCUGGGCCCAAGAAUCCAUGGGGGACAUUGUGUUGACACAGACUCCGGAUUCUCUGACAGCGUCUCCCGGAGACACUGUCACCAUCCGCUGCAAAGCCAGUUCCAGUGUCAGCAGCUGGAUAGCUUGGUAUCAACAGAAAUCUGGACAAGCUCCAAAGCCCCUCAUCUACAGCGCUUCCAGCCGCCCCUCUGGGGUCUCCGACCGGUUCAGCGGCAGUGGUUCGGGGACUGACUUCACUUUCACCAUCAGCAGGGUGGAAGCUGACGAUGCUGGUGAUUAUUACUGUCAGAAGCAUAACAGCUGGCCUCACACAGUGCUCCAGCCCUGA